UAUGCUUUUAAGUGCAAGACCAUGUGCAAAUAUUCCUGCUUUGCAGAAAGUUUCUGAGGCAUUUAUUGGCUGGGGAGGAAACCAGAGACAAAGCAAUGUUGUGCUGUAAGGUUGCACAUUCCCUGUUCUCACUUCCUUCGAUAGUGGCAGUGGAGGGAAAUGUCAGCUCUACAGCCAUCAAGGUGUUAUGCAGCUAAGUUGACACUGUGCCAGAUUCCUUUGGGCUGAAGCUUCAUUGGCUGAUGCCAGGCCAAGAGAAAGUUUACUACAGCACAGCAGUAGUUGUGGAAGGGUUUAUGGAAGGAGUAAUUUAUAUAUGUUUAUGAGAUGUAAAGCAGGGCAGAAUCUGACACAGUAGUUGCCGUUGGAUUUGAGACAGAUGGGGUUUACUUGCCUCCAGCCUUCACACCUGGGAGAGGAAAGAAGUGUGUCUGGAGGCAGGAUGUGCAUCACAGGGGGCUGAGGGGAGGAACAGAGAGAAGCAGAAUUGCUUUCACAAGUUAAAACAAAUCUCAUUCACCAUGAGCAGGUCUGUCUAAGGCACAUCUCUGCUUCCCUCUCCUAAGAAGGGAAAUAAAAAUAUUUAAUUUUUUGAAUGCUCCGGUCAAUUGGGUCCAGCCUGAGCAAAAAGAUCUAUAGCAUUCACUAUAGCAUGUAGCAGGAGUGAAGGGCUGUAUCCAAAUCAAAAUAUGUCCAUGUCCCUAUAAGAAAAGUGCUGUUCUAAACCAGGCAGGUGUAUUAUUUUUAUAUAUAUAGAUGUUAUGCAUAGCAGUCCCCAAGCCUGACACGAAUCUGAUUAGUCACCAUGGCUACCUAUAAACAUGAAUAAAGAAUAGAGGCAGUGUUGGGACCUGAAACCACAGCUCUCUUCUCUUAGGAAAGUGCAAACUUAAUGCUCUUGGACAUGCUCCUCUUCCUGGUGUGAUGCAAUCAACUGGCUCUCUCCUGGGUCUGUUAGGUGUGUAUAUCCCCUGCCCUCCCUCUCACUGGGGCUCCUUGAAGCAGUAGUCCUUGAGCUGCUGUGGGUCCUGGGGUGCUGACAGAGCCUGACAUCCUGUCUUGUGUUGCCACUGAUAAAUCCCUGAAGUCCUUGGUUGCAGAGGGCUGCCCUAGCUCAGGUCGUCACUAGCUUGGGGCACUCUACACCACGCUCUGCUGCCCAGGUAUAAACACAUUUUAUGUCACCAGAUGCACACGUCACAUGUAACCACUCUCUCCUGUGCACUGAGUGACUCAAAGCUGCAAACCUGGGCAAAGCUCCCAUGUUCUCCCCUUUUCCUGUGCCAUGAGCACAUGAUGGGAUUUGCCAUUGCAGAAUGAACAUAAAAUCAGUCCUGCUUGGGCAGUUUGCCCUUGGCGAUUUUGCUUAGGUCCUUGGUGCUGCGGAACCAUUUCCCUAGCAGCCUCACUUCUCUGGCAGCAUUAUUUUUAGGGAUUCCCUUGGCACUCCUUACUGCCUUACUGACCACUACCUCUGCCUGUAUGGGUGACUGUUGGAACAGCAGCUCUGGUAGUUCCAUAAAAACUCCCUGUGAAUUGUACUCUGUAUAUAGAAUUCUUUUCUCUUUCCUGUGAUUGUCUCACUCAAUGAAGAUCAAUUUUUGUUGAAAGCUGGCAGGAUUUAUAUUUUUAUUCAGCUGCCUGGAUCCAGCAUUUCUCCUUUUCCCCCAGGAUAAAUCAUUUUAUAUUCAUUCUUGCUUGGCAUAAUGAAGAGCUGACAUGAAGAGUGGCUUUGAGAAGUAGGUGUCUUCUCACCAUUCUCUCCAUCAGAUUCCAAGGUGGAAAGCUCAAGAUGGAUAACCAGGCCACCACAAUGGGACAACAGAAAUACCACUCAAAUAUUUAUUUAUUGCUCAACGAGACCUCAAAAUGCCCUUGACUCCUGGGUGGGACAAAAGGAAUCUCUUGCCAAACACGCUUGGAAUAAAUGAAAACCACUCCUCACAGGGAGUCUGGGGUAGGAGGAAAGAGAAUAAAAGGGAAAAAAAUAGAGACAUUUUUUUAGGACAAGGAGAAAACAUUCUAAGGUGCCAAGCCUAAGGAGCUGGCAGUGAAGUGGAGGGACGUGUCCCCUGGCUGUGUGUGGCAGCAGUUGCUGUAGUACUUGUACGUGCCACAGUGUCAGACUGGCACACAGCCACUGAGAAUGGAACCUGCUGGAGGGGCUGCAGCGGGUGAUGGAUGGGUUCAGGGACCUCAUUAGUACUCUCUGCCAACCCCACAAGAGCUUUGUCAUGAGAAGAACUGUUUUAAUUGUGCUGAUGCUGUUCCGUUGUACAGAAUCAACAAUUAUUGUUAACGAACAUGGGGGUCAGCGAGGCAGGUCUCUGGGGCUGGGUUUCCAGUGGAUCAGUGCAAACAGAAAGCAGGAGGAAACUAGUAGGUCGGCAGUGUAAGACCUGGCAGAAUGUCUGGCAGAGCCCUGAAGAACUGCAUAUGUCUUUAUUUAACUGCAGCUCUGCAAGUGGGAGAAACAUAUGACAGCUAGAAACUAUCCUGAUGCUAGUCCUAGAUAGCAGCCUCUGGCUCUGAUGAAUGAAGCCUUGGCCAUCCUGGUAACUCACCCUCCAGUUUCCUCCUGAAAAACAUGGGUGUUUUUAUCCCUCAAAAAAGACUGAAAGAUUGCACUGGAUUAGUAUUUCAUGGAGUUGGAAGGGACCUUUAAAGAUCAUCUUAUCUAACCCCCUGCCUUCCACUAGACAAAGCUGCUCCAAGCCCCAUCCAACCUGGGCUUGCCUACUUAAAGGGAUCCACAACUUCUCUGGGCAACUUGUUCCAAUGCCCCAUCAUAAGAAAUUUCUUCCUCCUGUCCAAACUUUAAUCUACCCUCUUUCAGUUUCAAACCACUGCCUUUUGUCCUCUUGCUACAGACCCUGAUAAAAAGCCCCUCUCCAUCUUUCCUGUGAGUCACCUUUGUAUGUUAAAAGGCAGCACUAAGGUCACCCUGGAGCCUUCACCAGACCAAGCAACCAAAACUCUCAGCAUGUCUUAGUAGGAGAGGUGUUUGAUUUUCAUGGCUCUGAAAUUUCUCCUUUCAUAACAAAUCAGUGAAACUGCAAGAGAGAUGGGCACAGUGCUGCCUCUGCAUCUUUGUAGGUAUGCAGUUACUCUUGCCUUACUGUUGAUUGCUGAAACAUUUUUCUCUUCUGAUUCCUUUAAUAAAAGGCAGUGAUAGCUAAAAUUUUUUAUCUUACCUGUUGAGUAAGGCUUCCACUAACUCUUCUUUCCUGAUUAAAAAGAAAAAUAAAUCCAAUACUGUUUCUUCUUCUGAUUCUUCUCUGCUACAGUUGGUUUACUGAAAAAUGGAGUGUCAUUUCACAGAUUCCACAAUGUUCAUUUUUAUUUUAUACAAUUCAAUCUGAGCUCCUUCUACAAUGCUGAAAACUAGGACUUGGAAACCGAGCCUCCAGAAGGAAUAUGGCAGGCCAAGGAUAAAAAGUAUACAAAUUUAAAAAGCAAUAAACAGUACAAAUCCAGGUUUCCCAAUUUCACCUACAAACCCAACCCAACAUAUUCUUUCAUUUUGUCACCCUCCUUUGCUACCUUUUGAUCUUCAGAGCCUGACUGGGUGCCUCUUGCCAUGGGUGAUGGUGUGGUUACAGGGGUGGGUGGCUGCCCAAAACUGUUCCCAUGUGGACCCCUACUGCCAUGUCCAGGCAAACUUCAUCCUCUUCCUGAUCUGCUGCUGUCUGCACCCCUCCUCCUCCUCCUCUGAGAUCUUUAACCCCCCAGCUUCCACUGCAGAGAGUUUGGCUUCCACCAUGCCUGCAAAUCCUGAAUGAAUCAAGUACAGUGAUAUCCACAUAUAACAGCAGGUAAGUAAUGCUUAUAAAUACCUCACUGCUGUUUAAAAAAAGAGAAAGGCAAAGCACAAGUAAAAUGAAUUACAUUUAGGCAGCAGAAUCUUAAUCUUAAGCUUGAAAUUUUAGGCCUGAUCAUGAACCUGCCCAAAGCCAUGAAUUUCCAUAUGCAAGAUGCAGCUUCAAAAUAUUUUUCAAAGCUUUGUGUUUGAACUGUGGAAAACCAGAGAUGAGGAGCAGUUUCUAAAGGAGAGAGGAGAGGGAGGAGAGGCCCUUCUGUCACACUGCACCUUUCAUCUCCAAACACAAAGGACUGACAUGUAGGAAAAGAACAAAUGUGAGCCAAGCUGCAGCACCUCAGCCUGAGGUUGCAGCCUGGCAUCACCUCCCUUGCAGCAGCCCCAAGCAAAGGGCAUGGCAAAGGAAUGGGAACAGGAAACACCAGAAUGUUUUUUGUGACUGCUUUCCCCACCUCUAAGGAUUUACAUCUCAGGGGCUUUCAGGGACAGUAGUGGUAUUUUGUGUUUAAAAGUCACUGUCUUCACUAAUGAGUUUUGAAGUCUCAUGCUAAAAUGCAAAUUUUUACCUGUGGCUUAUGUUGGAUUUUGUUCAGAAGCACUAAGCAAAAAUCUAGGUUAUAGGAACAGAUGCAUUCAAAGACCCCAGUGCCACCACUAAAACUGUGACAGUAUGUUGUGUUUGUAAACAGUAUGUGACUCUGCCUCUGGUAUUUUUGUCCUUGGAUGCAUUUCUAAGGUGUUACAACUUUCUGUUGGUACUGACAGAGCUUGACAUUCAUGCAAAAACAUGUGGAGCACUUGGAAUUAGGGGAUGCUUGGUUCUGUCUGGUUAAAAAAAACCCUCCCAAUUGACAAAGGAUGCAGUUUGCACCAGCUCAUGAGGAUCUAAAAAAAAGGGCCGAAUUCCAAGGAUCAAAGGAAAUGUUGCCUCGGACCCCAACUCUCAGCGUUUCUCAAGCUCUGUAUGAAAUCACCCUUGCUGCAUGGUUUUCUGCAUCUCUGUCUAAGAUAAAAUUUGCCUUGAAGUGAAAUUGGAUUUUUGGAAGCCAGAGGGGAUUCCAGCCAAGAAACUAAGGUAAUGUUCAUCAGCAAAAAUUUGACCCAAGGCAUUAUUGAGCCUCUUAGGCCUGUGUUAUAUAUCAGUAAAAUUCUUCCCAGAGAGCUGUUCUCCAAAACAGCAACUGCUUAUUGCUCUCCCUUUUGCCAUAAGCCAAGCUAAUAAAUGUAUUUUUAAUUGAUGUAAUGUAAGUAUUGGAGGUUUUUUUUGGGGAAAAAAAAGAACUAUAAUUUCUUCAGUUAAGCUGGAAUACUUGUGAGAUCAUUUUAAAUAGGUGUCUUCUAGAAAGCUUUGCUAUUUCUUCAUUUUUAGUACUUACCACAAGCUAUUUCAGACGGGAGCUGUCAGAGCAUCAACAAAAAGUUGUUAAAUGCAGGCUAGCUUCCAGAGAGCUCAGGUUUUUGCUGAAGCUGUGCUAUAUACUGAACGCAGAUGUGUGUCUGCACCUGUGUGUCUGUCUAUAUAAGCAUGUAACUUACAAAAAACUCACUAAUAAAAGAUUCAUCUGCUGCUUAUUAUACAGCUUAAGUGCUCCUGCAAUACUGAAAACUCAAGUUUUUCUGGCAUGUGAGAACAAGCAAGUGAACUUGCCUGAUAGAUAGAAAGCAAAGUCUGCUCCUGAAGACAGACUGACAGUUCAAGAGCAAGGAAGUGCAGAAAGGGUAAUCCAGAAUCCCUUUUAAGUUUGCUUAAUAAUAAGGUUCUCUCCUCUUCUGAGAAAAUCAAAGAUUACACUCAAACAGGUAAAAGGCUUUUUAAUUUAAUUGUUUUAACUGAGUUUCUUUAUGCAAUUUUCCAUUUGAUUUAAUUCUAUUUAGUAUGAUAAAUGCUGCUUAAUCUGAAAUUCUUUUCCUUGUCGUUUUCAUGUAUGAAAACCAGAGAUGAAAGAUUAGCUUCUAGUGACCUGCAUCAAAACAUAAUUUGGCUGGAAACGAAAUGAAUUUGGAUUUAGCUGUAUCUCUUGGAUAGUUGUGCUGCAACAACAAAUCUUCAUAAAGUUAAGCUGCCUCUGCUCAAGGAGUGGAAGAGGUUGUUCAGACUGCGAGAAACUCCCGCAGUCUCUGCCCUGCCUGUGUGUGUCUGACUGAGAGUCAGUGCCAUCAGAUCCUCAAAAUGUAAAGGAAUUUAGGAUUUUUAAGUAAGAUUACAGCAGCAGCUUUUCAUGGUUUAAUUAUUUUAUAUUAGAGGCUGCUGAAUGAUGCGUUCGGUGAGCUGAUUGCUUUUCGGAGAGCAUUAAAAGAUUUACUUGCUUGCUGUUUCAAACAUUUGGAAGUUUUUUGCAGUGGAAUUGAAGGGAGCCAUGGAGCAAAUCAUGUCUCUCCUUGGGUGCUGGCAUCUCGCUUCCUUGGUAGCUUGGACUGUGUGGAAGGAAUUGUGACAAAAUUGCACAGGAGGAAUAAGCGGUCAUGAAACUGCAUGGACGGGCAUUGCAGCAGGAGAGGCUGCCAUCAGCACUGGCUUGAGAGGAAUUGGUGUCCUAUGGCAGGGACUGGCAUUUACCAAACAGGAAAAUGCCCAGGACAACAAUGCUUCCUAAUAAUAUCAAACUGAUGAGCAAAGAAAUAGCACCCACAUUCUCAAAUGAUGAUGUGGCAAAGAUCAAGAAAUUCAGCAAAACUCAAACCAAAGUAAAAUAUAAACUGCUCUAAUACUGGCUAAUGGAUAAUGAGAUUGCAUUUAAUGUUGGUAAUGUGCAAUGUAAGUGUUUGCUGUUUCUUAAAUAGGGUAUCUUUGACCAUUUAAGCAAGCCUUUAGCAUCAAACAUUCAUGGCCAUGAGUAUAUUAAAAGAGCCAUUUUUUGUAUGCUACUGCAGGGUAAUGAGAAUGUUCUCAACAAUGGGGCAUGCAUUAAAGGAGACAUCAAUAUCUUAUUAUUAGGCAAGAGCUUGUAGAGUUAAUAGUGCAUUGAUAAGUUAUUUUAUUAUCCCCCCUCCUCAUCAUGCCAGCCUAGCUCUCUUAUGCAAUAUUAGCAAGAAAAUAAAAGCCAACCCAGUACAAAGACUCAUUUUGCCUUAUACAAGAAUGUUUGUUAGUGUCUUAGGAUCAAUUUAUUUUAUCCUUGGGCACAUUUUUACAAUUAUUUCUGUUUUGUCCCACACUUCCCUAUUUACUUGACAUCUGUUCUAUGUUUCUAGCUAGUGCUGGCACGAUGCGCAAUCGCGUCUAAUCCUGCGCUGCUCACUCGGGCAAGACAGCCACUGAUUUCACCAAUGGGCUCCCCUUUAUCUCCAAAGUCGAUGGAACUAUUCUACUUCUGUCACUUGUAGUCACAGUAGCUGUUCAGUUGUGACUUCAUUCCUAAAUGCUUUGUUUUCAGUACCCAUAAUUAAGUUACAUUAGCUGCAGACUCAAACCUGCUCCAGAACAGCUCCUGGCAGAGAUGUCAACUUCCUUACAUAAAUCAAGCUCUUUGUGUCUCUGCAGAGCUUCAGUCAAAUAUUUGAUAACUUGCUUUAAAAAAUAGAAUAGCCUAAAACAAAAUCCUUGUCAAAUCUUUUGGGUAUGUAGUUUCUCUCCAUAAGAGGGCAACUUGAAAAUCUUCCUCCACAGGACCCUGCUGUGGCAUUUUAACCAUGUCAGUACAGGUGGGAUCUGUUGGCCAACAGCCCCUUGUCCAGAGCACUUGCUCAGCACCUGCAUUGCCUGGCUGGGUACCCAAAAGUGGCACACUGGAGCCAUGGAAGUUCAAAGCAGGUGUCUAAUGGCACUCAAUGACAUGCUAAUGUAUCUGCUGCUUUCCAAAGGACUGUCUGCUAAAGCUUCAAUAAAGCCAGAAAUGGGUCCCUUAAUGAAAUGCAAAGCUAGGAGGGGCAUAGGCAAGUUUCUUUGAAGUAUGGAACGAGAUCGUAAGUUAAAAAUUUUAAAUAUUUAUCCUGGGAGGAUUCUGAAGAAAGAACUCUAAUUAAAGGAAAGUACAUUUUGAGCAUUUCUAUCUCAUUUAUUGAAACAGUAGAAUUUCUGAGGAUGUCUUUAGUACCACCUGUGUUGUACUAUUGUCUAGAGGAGUGUUAGGUAUGCAAUAAUAUUGUAGUAAUAUAAACCUUUCCUUAAGAAAACAGAUUUAGUUAUUUUAUGUAUUUUUUAACAAUCUUAACCUUAGAAAUGCCAGGUUCUGUUGUUCUGUUUCUUUUCCUUCCAGUUUGAGACUGAAAUGAAAAUUGCAAUCACAAUACACACCAAUACUGUUGGCAUAACCUUACAAGUAAUUAAGCAGUUUAGAAGCUAAUUAGUGUUGCAAGAGUUCCAAGUUUCCAAGCACUCAGGAGCAUUCUAGAGAAAAAUUUGUUGGGGGAAAAAAAAAGCAAUUUAAAAUUCUGUAAUCAGAACUUUUCAACUUUGGGAACCUUUUUAAGGCUUAAGCACAUGUUUCCCCAAUGCUUUGUCUUCUUCCCAUUGCCUGGACCUGUGCUUUUGGAGAUACUGGUGAAGCAUGGAAGGCUCCUGUACAUGGAAUAAUGAAAAAUGCUGUUUUGAUUUGCUCACAAUUUUCUCCUGUUAAGCUGAAGCAGAUGGGAUAUUUAUGACAUUUAUAUGGAAGCUGUGUUUUUGAAUAAUGAAUGAAAUAAAAAGAGGAAUAAAUAUGUAGUAAAGAUGUUUCAAGGUAUUUACAAGGUUUAAGUGAGUGCUUUAAACUUUGUAAGUUUUGAUCUUCAUUACUUGAAAACAGGAAAAGCUUUGAUACUUCUCAACAUGCCUGGAACACUGUCAAAGGCAUCUUCCUCUUUUCACAGAAGGACCUUAGAAAACACUGAAUAAAAAGUACUUACAAUGAAGAUCAGGUGGUAGCAAAUAAAAGCUGCUGUAAAUGUCAUUCAGUUGCCUGGAAAGCUGCAUCUUUUAACACCACAGUCCCACACUUCCUUGGAUUUAGCAAGGUCAAGGUUAGCAUCCCCUGGGUUAAUAUUAUCAGAGACUCCUGGUACUCCUGGUGCCACCACCUUCAUCCAGCUCUUGAGGUCUGUCAUCUAACAACUGUGGGAUUUUGGAGGCCAGGAGGAAGGGAGUGUCUUGUCAAUGACUGUAGCCAUGGCAGAGCAGCACUGACACAGGUCCUGGCUUUGCUCCCCCAGGUGGCAUUUCCCUGGUUGUGACUGCUGGGCUAAACAACACCACUGGGGCAGCAAAAUGUCAGACCAACAAACAGGGGCUGGUGGGUUGCCUUUUCUCGAUCUGAUUUGACAGGAAUUUAUUCUGUGCCCUUACUUAAGCCUCCUAAUAGCCUCCUGAUUUAACUCUUUCCAAUAAAUGAAGAAACCUAU